AAUAGAUACCCGGGUAGUCCACGCCGUAAACGAUGGAUGCUAGCUAUUGGGGGGAAUCGACCCCCUCCGAAGCGAAGCUAACGCGUUAAGCAUCCCGCCUGAGUAGUACGAGCGCAAGCUUAAAACUCAAAGGAAUUGACGGGGACCCGCACAAGCGGUGGAGCGUGUGGUUUAAUUCGAUGGUAAACGAAGAACCUUACCAAGGUUUGACAUCCCGGUAGCCGUUCUCCGAAAGGAGAAUUUCAUUUAGUUGGACCGGUGACAGGUGAUGCAUGGCCGUCGUCAGCUCGUGUCGUGAGAUGUUGGGUUAAGUCCCGCAACGAGCGCAACCCUUAUGAUUUAGUUGGAUUUUUCUAAACAGACUGCCCUGGUAACAGGGAGGAAGGAGGGGAUGGUGUCAGGUCAGUAUUUCCCUUACACCUUGGGGCGACACACGCGCUACAAUGGCCGGUACAAUGGGCAGCUAAGCCGCGAGGUGGAGCAAAUCCCAUCAAAGCCGGUCCCAGUUCGGAUUGCAGGCUGAAACCCGCCUGCAUGAAGCCGGAAUCGCUAGUAACC
rnacentral:rRNA from 1 species